UCGAGCGAUCUGAGGGAGCUUGCUCCCAAGAUUAGCGGCGGACGGGUGAGUAACACGUGGGUAACCUGCCUGUAAGAUUGGGAUAACUCCGGGAAACCGGAGCUAAUACCGGAUAACAUUUUGAACCGCAUGGUUCAAAAUUGAAAGAUGGUUUCGGCUAUCACUUACAGAUGGACCCGCGGCGCAUUAGCUAGUUGGUGAGGUAACGGCUCACCAAGGCGACGAUGCGUAGCCGACCUGAGAGGGUGAUCGGCCACACUGGGACUGAGACACGGCCCAGACUCCUACGGGAGGCAGCAGUAGGGAAUCUUCCGCAAUGGACGAAAGUCUGACGGAGCAACGCCGCGUGAACGAUGAAGGCCUUCGGGUCGUAAAGUUCUGUUGUUAGGGAAGAACAAGUACCAGAGUAACUGCUGGUACCUUGACGGUACCUAACCAGAAAGCCACGGCUAACUACGUGCCAGCAGCCGCGGUAAUACGUAGGUGGCAAGCGUUG
rnacentral:rRNA from 1 species